AGAGUUUGAUCCUGGCUCAGAACGAACGCUGGCGGCGUGGCUAAGACAUGCAAGUCGUACGGUACGUUGUGGUUUACUAUGACGUAUAGUGGCGAACGGGUGAGUAAUGAAUAGGUAACGUGCCCCGAGCACAGGGAUACCGCCGGAAGCUUCGGCUUCCUUUGCGAAAGUGGCGUUAAUACCUGAUGACGUCUUCGAUUGGCAUCGAUCGGAGAUCAAAGGUGGGGACCUUCGGGCCUACCGGCACGGGAUCGGCCUAUUUCCUAUCAGCUUGUUGGUGGGGUAAUGGCCUACCAAGGCAGCGACGGGUAGCGGGACUGAGAGGUUGGCCCGCCACAUCGGGACUGAGACACUGCCCGGACACCUAUGGGUGGCUGCAGUAACGAAUAUUCCGCAAUGGGCGAAAGCCUGACGGAGCGACGCCGCGUGGAGGACGAAUUCCUUCGGGAUGUAAACUCCUUUUAGGGUGAAGAAAACAAUGGCCGCUAAUACCGGUCUGCGUUGAUCGAUCCCGGAAUAAGCCUGGGCUAACUCCGUGCCAGCAGCCGCGGUAAUACGGAGCAGGCAAGCGUUGUUCGGAAUCACUGGGCUUAAAGCGCGUGUAGGCGGCCUCGCAAGUACCUUGUGAAAGCCCUCGGCUCAACCGAGGAAUUGCUCGGUAUACUGCGGGGCUUGAGGCGGGUAGGGGUGCUUGGAACUCUAGGUGGAGCGGUGAAAUGCGUAGAUAUCUAGGGGAACGCCUGUGGCGAAAGCGGAGCACUGGGCCCGUCCUGACGCUGAGACGCGAAAGCGUAGGGAGCGAACGGGAUUAGAUACCCCGGUAGUCUACGCCGUAAACGAUGCGCACUAGGUUUGUAAAUGUCUGACCAUUUGCGAGCCGAAACAAAAGCGAUAAGUGCGCCGCCUGGGGAGUACGGCCGCAAGGCUAAAACUCAAAGGAAUUGACGGGGGCUCACACAAGCGGUGGAGGAUGUGGCUUAAUUCGAAUUCAACGCGAAGAACCUUACCCGGGCUUGACAUGCACGGAUUAGCCCUGUGAAAGCAGGGUGACGCGGUUUACCGUGGAACUUGCACAGGUGCUGCAUGGCUGUCGUCAGCUCGUGUCGUGAGAUGUCGGGUUAAGUCCCUUAACGAGCGAAACCCUUAUCGCUAGUUGCCAGCGGGUAAUGCCGGGCACUUUGGCGAGACUGCCGGUGUUAAACCGGAGGAA
rnacentral:rRNA from 1 species